AUGAACAAGAUGUGAUUCCUGUCCCCAAGGAAAGGCUUCCGGGUGGAGGUGAGUCAUCAUCUGAACUUUGAGACAGAUGCUGGCAAGACAGGAUGGGCUGGGAGGAGGUGGGGACGGCGCACCAGGUGGCAGAGAUGGCAAGAACAAAGGUUGUUGAAAGGAUUACAAGAAACAAUGACCCAGACAGCGGUGAGGGUUUCAGAACCCAAAAAAAUCCUCUCUCAUGUGAUGAGGAACUGAGAGAGCCCCUGGACAACAGCCAGCGGGACCUGAGGCUCUCCGUCCAACAGGCUGCGAGGAUCUUGAAUCCUUCCAUUGAGGCAUGGGUGAGCGUGGAAAUGGACCUGCCCCAGCUGACAUCUGGAUGGCAGUUUUGUGAAACCCGGGAGCCAGACCUCCCACCUAGGCGGCACCCUGAUUUCUGACCCACGGAAACUGAGAUAAGAAAUGUGAAUUGCCUUAAGCUACUGUAUCUUGGGGCUGUUUCUUAUGCAGCUGUAAAUAACUAAUACAUUAAUGGCAUAACACAUAUGUUUCCUUCUUUAAUAUCUGCCUCCCC
rnacentral:lncRNA from 1 species